GUCCACGUCGCGGCGGACCAAAGCCAGAAUCCCCCAAGGAUGAUGGCUGCGGCCGGCCAACGCCUCGUUGUCAUGAUGAGCAGGCCGGUCGC
rnacentral:sRNA from 1 species